UUUGAGCCGAGGGGCACUUGUGGAAACUUCAGAUCGGCGUCGAUCGGAAACCGUAGCAAAAAGCCCGCACCACGUGAAGGACUGACUGAAGCGUGAUGAAUACUGAGCUCUAAUGCAAAGAGCAGUCAGGCAGUAGUAAG
rnacentral:ncRNA from 1 species